ensembl:lncRNA
UACCUCACAGUGCUUUGGUCCUGCUUGAAGGUCUCCCUGCUACACUUAUUGUAGUAAGGCUUUCCUCUGUGUAUACAUAUCCUUACAAGUACAAUUUUAGCUGUAUUAUUUGUGUCCCCUUCAAAAAUCAACAGUGAUUUUUGACAGAGGACAGAGUUCUUCACGAGUACAACCGUUUAUGGAGAGCGAGCAGGUCUACGACGUCCCUCACAGUAAACCCCCAAAAUCCAGCACCAACACGGCGGAGAAAAAACAUUCUCAUCGGCCUGAUGAGAAGCCUGGUUGUGUUGCUGAGGGAAUCGUUCAUCUCUCCUCUGAAAGAGGAGAAGAGGAGGAAGAAAAAGAAAGUGCGCCACUUCAAGUGGCUCUCUUACCGUUUGAUGAAAGAAUUAAAAUCCUACAGGAACCCUUCUGUCCCUUACGAUCAAAAGCCUCUGUAGAUCUGUAGAGGUUAUUGACUACGAGGUUCUUCAAGUCCAAAACACGGAAUAUGUCAGCAUUCCUGAUCAUUCACUAGCCCGUUCCCAAAGAAGUCACCCUGACAAUCCUGGCCAAUAAAAGCCCAGUGAUGGACAUUAUUAGGCUUUUGGACUGGCAGAACCAGCAGAACUUCUACGUCAUGGUCGCCCAGUGUUUCUCGCGCUAAAAACGUGUUUCACUUUGUGGAACACAACAGAGGCAGCACUGGGAAUCCUUCAAUGCUGUAUGGAUACUUUCCAGAUAGUUUCGACUUCUACAGGACCAACAUGAACACCUGGUCCAAACCUGGCUUGACAGAAGGCAGAAUCAUCCAUCCACUUUAACAUUUUGCAGGGCGAGGAAGCCCUGGUAGUGUUUUGUGCCUUUGGCUUGCGGUAAUAUUAACGACUGGUGAUGUUGCUUGAUGAAGGAUGUGAAAAUUGAUGUACUUUUGUAAAUAAUUGAAGAAUUUAUUACUUCAUCUGAAUGGCCACAGAGCUUCCAGCCAGAGCACUCACAGAGAUCUACUGUUUAGUCCAAAAAAAAAAGUUACCAUAUGUGUGAAAAGUGCACCUAACUAAAACUUAUAUAUUUUACAUUUUAUAUUAACAGAUUGAAACACUGGACAUUAGUCUUGCAGAAAAAACAUUAAUUAAACAAAAAAAAAAAAA